AGUUUAGAAAGGGUUUAUUACAGAACUUGUAGAGCUGUUGACAGGGACCGUCUCAAAACCAAAACCGGGAGGUAAAACCAUCCUUGAUAACUUUGACAAGGGAGUGAUUAGACGGGCGGUCUACAAACUUUAUGAGAAGAA